ensembl:lncRNA
UGGGAAAAGAUACUAUAGCAGCCCUCCAGGACUCACAUCAGUUCUUCAGACAAAAUGUGGAAAACAUGAAUGUGAAUCUCAUGACACAAAGCAACACUACCUUUUCAGGUCUUUUUGUUUUUGUUUCUUUAGAGGGAUACUUCAAGAUCCUUGAAAAGCUCUGCAGGUGUAAAAGCUCUAUCUCCACUGCAGCUCCAUCAUGUGUGAAGUAGCCUUGUUGUGUGUGCUUCCAUGGCUGCCUCAGAACCGUGGGAGAAAACUUCAGAGCCAGUUCUGCAGUUCCAGUCCCAGCUUUGGAUCUGACCAUGCUACCUUCUAGAUGAAUGACAGCCCUUUGUACAUGGUACUCAGACUGUGAUGAUGUCUCCAAGCCUCAAACCCUGCAAGCUGGGGCUGAGCCUUUGUGUUUUAUGAUCUCCAGCCUUUCUCCAAUGUUCUGCAGUGACUUCCAGGAAUCUUGCAAGUACAGUAACCUACAGAUGACAGUCAGCAAGGAUUUGCAGAAAAUGCAAUAUAUGAACAAAUCUCCGAACUCCACUUGGGGAAUUCUCAACAGGUAUUCCUUGGGGAAAAUCUCUCACUGCUCUUCACCUGUUUCUGACUGUAACAGAAGAGUCAGGUGCACAGACCGGUCACACUGCUGCUGCUUCCAAACAGUAUUCCAGACAUUAUAAAAAGAUGCUGGGUCUGAAAUUUUAUAACAAGUCUCAUCAGUUGGCUGUUUUAUUUUCCUGGAAAGGAGCUCAACUGAACAAGCUCUGGCAGACACACAGAGCUAUGCUGUUGCCACUGACAGGAGUCCCAGAACAACACAUACAGUCUGUGAGAAAAUGCUACUGUCUCACAACUGUGGAAAAAAAAGAAAAGAGCAGCAAAGCAUCCUCCAGUAAUGCAGUGUUUCCAAAGUGGAAAUGAAAGGCACAGGUGGAGACUCAACUGCCUACUUGUCAUAAGGCUAAAUAUUUCUUCACUCAAGAUGUAAUAAAUCCUGGAGUACUCUCUGCUCUCACAGGAGGAUUUCAGCACGGAGGCAUGCUGCAGAAAGAUCUUCCGGGGAAAAUGUAUUUUUGAGUACUCCAGACAAUUGAAACUAGUGAGCCCACUGUCUGGAGAAAGCAUCUGUAACCGCAGCCAAAAGAGGAACAAGAUUUCCGACAUUGUUUCAAGACAUGUGUUUGAAGCAUGGGUUCCCAUCACUUUCGGAGUGAGUUGCAGACCAUUUUUCUUUAUAUAGAUUUAGACAAGACAAAGCAGUCCUGGAUUUGUCUUGCUAAUUGUCUUUGUGAUUUCUCCCCAG